AUUUUGGACAAUGGGGGAAACCCUGAUCAAGCCACCCCGCGUGUAUGAUGAAGGCGUUCGGGUUGUAAAGUACUUUUGGCAGUGAAGAAAAGGUAUCUCCUAAUACGAGAUACUGCUGGCGGUAUCUGAAGAAUAAGCACCGGCUAACUACGUGCCAGCAGCCGCGGUAAUACGUAGGGUGCAAGCGUUAAUCGGAAUUUCUGGGCGUAAAGAGUGUGUAGACGGUUCGGAAAGAAAGAUGUGAAAUCCCAGGGCUCAACCUUGGAACUGCAUUUUUAACUGCCGAGCUAGAGUAUGUCAGAGGGGAGUAGAAUUCCACGUGUAGCAGUGAAAUGCGUAGUUAUGUGGAGGAAUACCGAUGGCGAAGGCAGCCCCCUGGGAUAAUACUGACGCUCAGACACGAAAGCGUGGGGAGCAAACAG
rnacentral:rRNA from 1 species